UAGCAAGGCUGCAGACAUUCCAG
rnacentral:miRNA from 1 species